rnacentral:rRNA from 1 species
CAGUCGCCGCGGGAAUACGGAGGGUGCAAGCGUUAAUCGGAAUUACUGGGCGUAAAGCGCACGCAGGCGGUCUGACAGGUCAGAUGUGAAAUCCCCGGGCUUAACCUGGGAACUGCAUUUGAAACUGUCAGGCUGGAGUCUUGUAGAGGGGGGUAGAAUUCCAGGUGUAGCGGUGAAAUGCGUAGAGAUCUGGAGGAAUACCGGUGGCGAAGGCGGCCCCCUGGACAAAGACUGACGCUCAGGUGCGAAAGCGUGGGGAGCAAACAGGAUUAGAUACCCGUGUAGUCCCUGUCUCUUAUAC